UGGUAGGAAAAACCGCCAUGCAAUGGGAAGACGUGAUGUGGAGUGAAAUAUAGUAACGAAGCCCGUGAGCCAUGCGUCAAGAAAAGCCGCUAUUGUUUAUAUUGUACCCGUACCGUAAACCGACACAGGUGGAUGAGGAGAGAAUCCUAAGGCCGGCGGAAGAAGUAUUGCCAAGGAACUCGGCAAAAUGGCCCCGUAACUUAGGGAGAAGGGGUGCCUGCGAGAGCGGGCCGCAGAGAAUAGGCUCAAGCAACUGUUUAGCAAAAACACAGGUCUAUGCGAAACCGAAAGGUGAGGUAUAUGGGCUGACGCCUGCCCGGUGCUGGAAGGUUAAGAGGAGAGGUUAGACGCAAGUCGAAGCUUUGAAUUUAAGCCCCAGUAAACGGCGGCCGUAACGAUAACGGUCCUAAGGUAGCGAAAUUCCUUGUCGGGUAAGUUCCGACCCGCACGAAAGGCGUAAUGAUUUGAGCGCUGUCUCGGCAAUACAUCCGGUGAAAUUGAAGUGCCAGUGAAGAUGCUGGCUACCCGCGCCAGGACGGAAAGACCCCAUGGAGCUUUACUCCAGUUAGGCACUGGGGUCCGGUGUUGCAUGUACAGGAUAGGUGGGAGGCUGAGAGAUAGUGACGUCAGUUGCUAUGGAGCCGCUGUUGGGAUACCACCCUUGUGAUAUUGGGCUUCUAACCAGCCGCCGUAAUCCGGCGGUGGGACAAUGCCAGGCGGGGAGUUUGACUGGGGCGGUCGCCUCCGAAAGGGUAUCGGAGGCGCCCAAAGGUUCCCUCAGAAUGGACGGAAACCAUUCGAAGAGUGCAAAGGCAGAAGGGAGCUUGACUGCGACACCGACGGGUGGAGCAGGUACGAAAGUAGGGCUUAGUGAUCCGGUGGUAUUAAGUGGGAAUGCCAUCGCUCAACGGAUAAAAGCUACCCUGGGAUAACAGGCUUAUCACUCCCAAGAGUUCACAUCGACGGAGUGGUUUGGCACCUCGAUGUCGGCUCAUCGCAUCCUGGGGCUGUAGUAGGUCCCAAGGGUUGGGCUGUUCGCCCAUUAAAGCGGUACGCGAGCUGGGUUCAGAACGUCGUGAGACAGUUCGGUCCCUAUCCGGCGUGGGCGUAGGAUAUCUGAGAGGAGCUGUCCUUAGUACGAGAGGACCGGGAUGGACGGACCGCUGGUGGACCGGUUGGCUUGCCAAAGCCAUGGCCGGGUAGCCAAGUCCGGAAGGGAUAAACGCUGAAGGCAUCUAAGCGUGAAGCCCCCCUCAAGAUGAGAUAUCCCAUUCUUUAAGAAGUAAACCCCCUUGAAGACGACGAGGUAGAUAGGGCAGAGGUGGAAGUGUGGUAACACAUGGAGCUGACUGUUACUAAUCGGGUGAGGGCUUGACCG
rnacentral:rRNA from 1 species